UACAGAGGUCUCAAGCGUUGUUCGGAUUCAUUGGGCGUAAAGGGUGUGUAGGUGGCGCCGUAAGUCGGGGUGUGAAAUUUCGGAGCUUAACUCCGAAACUGCAUUCGAUACUGCGGUGCUUGAGGACUGGAGAGGAGACUGGAAUUCAUGGUGUAGCAGUGAAAUGCGUAGAGAUCAUGAGGAAGACCAGUGGCGAAGGCGGGUCUCUGGACAGUUCCUGACACUGAGACACGAAGGCCAGGGGAGCAAACGGG
rnacentral:rRNA from 1 species